UAGGAUUAGAUACCCUAGUAGUCCACGCCGUAAACGAUGAGUACUAAGUGUUGGGAGUCAAAUCUCAGUGCUGCAGUUAACGCAAUAAGUACUCCGCCUGAGUAGUACGUUCGCAAGAAUGAAACUCAAAGGAAUUGACGGGGGCCCGCACAAGCGGUGGAGCAUGUGGUUUAAUUCGACGCAACGCGAGGAACCUUACCAGAUCUUGACAUCCUCGGGAGAGUAUAGAAGUAUACUUGUGCCUUCGGGAACCGAGAGACAGGUGGUGCAUGGCUGUCGACAGCUCGUGUUGUGAGAUGUUGGGUUAAGUCCCGCAACGAGCGAAACCCCUAUCAUUAGUUACCAUCAUUAAGUUGGGGACUCUAAUGAAACUGCCUACGAAGAGUAGGAGGAAGGUGGGGAUGACGUCAAGUCAUCAUGCCCCUUAUGAUCUGGGCUACACACGUGCUACAAUGGAUAGUACAAAGAGAAGCUUUGUAGCGAUACAUGGCAAAACUAAGAAAGCUAUUCUUAGUUCGGAUUGAAGUCUGCAACUCGACUUCAUGAAGUUGGAAUCACUAGUAAUCGUGAAUCAGCAAUGUCACGGUGAAUACGUUCUCGGGCCUUGUACACACCGCCCGUCACACCACGAGAGUUGUUUGCACCUGAAAUUACCGGCCUAACCGUAAGGAGGGAGGUACUGAAGGUGUGGAUAGUGAUUGGGGUGAAGUCGUAACAAGGUAUCCGUACCGGAAGGUGCGGAUG
rnacentral:rRNA from 1 species